UACACGAAAGUGUGGCGGGGUUACCCAAAGUGUUCAAUUUUGAACUGUGGUAGGUGAGUAAUGUUCCCUACUAGAAAGGAGAGGGCAAGGCUGGUGCCAGCCGCCGCGGUAAAACCAGCUCUUCAAGUGGUCGGGAUAAUUAUUGGGCUUAAAGUGUCCGUAGCCGGUUUAGUAAGUUCCUGGUAAAAUCGGGUAGCUUAACUAUCUAUAUGCUAGGAAUACUACUAUACUAGAGGGCGGGAGAGGUCUGAGGUACUGCAGGGGUAGGGGUGAAAUCUUAUAAUCCUUGUUGGACCACCAGUGGCGAAGGCGUCAGACUGGAACGCGCCUGACGGUGAGGGACGAAAGCCAGGGGAGCGAACCGGAUUAGAUACCCGGGUAGUCCUGGCCGUAAACGAUGCAUACUAGGUGAUGGCACGGCCAUGAGCCGUGUCAGUGCCGUAGGGAAACCGUUAAGUGUGCCGCCUGGAAGUACGGUCGCAAGGCUAAA
rnacentral:rRNA from 1 species